AUUGAACGCUGGCGGCAGGCCUAACACAUGCAAGUCGAACGGUAACAGCGAUCCGCUUGCUGAUUCGCUGACGAGUGGCGGACGGGUGAGUAAUGUCUGGGAAACUGCCUGAUGGAGGGGGAUAACUACUGGAAACGGUAGCUAAUACCGCAUAACGUCGCAAGACCAAAGAGGGGGACCUUCGGGCCUCUUGCCAUCGGAUGUGCCCAGAUGGGAUUAGCUAGUAGGUGGGGUAACGGCUCACCUAGGCGACGAUCCCUAGCUGGUCUGAGAGGAUGACCAGCCACACUGGAACUGAGACACGGUCCAGACUCCUACGGGAGGCAGCAGUGGGGAAUAUUGCACAAUGGGCGCAAGCCUGAUGCAGCCAUGCCGCGUGUAUGAAGAAGGCCUUCGGGUUGUAAAGUACUUUCAGCGGGGAGGAAGGGAGUAAAGUUAAUACCUUUGCUCAUUGACGUUACCCGCAGAAGAAGCACCGGCUAACUCCGUG
rnacentral:rRNA from 1 species